GGCCUGGUGGCACAAGGUGUGCGUCUGCAGGACUUAGCAAAUAGGUGAUUUUGUCUACAUAUACAGAAGGUCUCGGUUCGAUUCCGGGUCAGGCUG